rnacentral:rRNA from 1 species
AUUGAACGCUAGCGGGAUGCUUUACACAUGCAAGUCGAACGGCAGCGCGGACUUCGGUCUGGCGGCGAGUGGCGAACGGGUGAGUAAUGUAUCGGAACGUGCCCAGUAGCGGGGGAUAACUACGCGAAAGCGUAGCUAAUACCGCAUACGCCCUACGGGGGAAAGCAGGGGAUCGUAAGACCUUGCACUAUUGGAGCGGCCGUUGUCGGGUUAGCUAGUUGGUGAGGCAACGGCGUACCAAGGCGACGAUCCGUAGCAGGCCUGAGAGGGCGACCGGCCACACUGGAACUGAGACACGGUCCAGACUCCUACGGGAGGCAGCAGUAGGGAAUCUGCCGCAAUGGGCGAAAGCCGGACGGAGCAACGCCGCGGGAGGGAUGAAGGGCUUCGGAUCGUAAAACUCUGUUAUUAGGGAAGAACAAAUGGGUAAGUAACUAUGCACGUCUUGACGGUACCUAAGCAGAAAGCCACGGCUAACCACGUG